rnacentral:rRNA from 1 species
AUUGAACGCUGGCGGCAGGCCUAACACAUGCAAGUCGAGCGAGCGGCGGACGGGUGAGUAAUGUAUGGGGAUCUGCCCGAUAGAGGGGGAUAACUACUGGAAACGGUGGCUAAUACCGCAUACCAUCGGAUGUACCCAUAUGGGAUUAGCUAGUAGGUGGGGUAAAGGCUCACCUAGGCGACGAUCCCUAGCUGGUCUGAGAGGAUGACCAGCCACACUGGGACUGAGACACGGUCCAGACUCCUACGGGAGGCAGCAGUGGGGAAUAUUGCAAAAUGGGCGCAAGCCUGAUGCAGCCAUGCCGCGUGUGUGAAGAAGGCCUUAGGGUUGUAAAGCACUUUCAGCGAGGAGGCGUUACUCGCAGAAGAAGCACCGGCUAACUCCGUGCCAGCAGCCGCGGUAAUUC